UAUUAUUUAGAUUUCUUAAUGUUGUAUAAGGAGGAAUCUCACUAAAAAGCUUCCUUAGGAACAAAAAGCGAUUGUAACAGGUAAACAAAUUGUCGAGGAAUCAUCUUUACUUCUGCAUCACUGAUUUCAAUGCAUGAAAUUAAUAAACAAGCAUGGAAUUUAGCAUAAGAAGGUGAACUUCCACAACAACCAGCAAAACAGAAAAAUGAGCGGAAGACACCAGGAAGAGGGAUGAUGCAUUCACUUUUAAAUUGCUGAUCUGAGAAACAUAACAAGAAAAACAUACAUGUGCUCAAGGUCCCUGGGUUAGCCUCUGCAUUUCGCCUUGGCCAUCCAGCGUUUCCAUGA
rnacentral:lncRNA from 1 species